rnacentral:rRNA from 1 species
CCUACGGGAGGCAGCAGUGAGGAAUAUUGGUCAAUGGCCGUAAGGCUGAACCAGCCAAGUCGCAUGAAGGAAGAAGGAUCUAUGGUUUGUAAACUUCUUUUAUAGGGGAAUAAAGGUAUCCACGUGUGGAUAUUUGCAUGUACCCUAUGAAUAAGCAUCGGCUAACUCCGUGCCAGCAGCCGCGGUAAUACGGAGGAUGCGAGCGUUAUCCGGAUUUAUUGGGUUUAAAGGGUGCGUAGGUUGUUUUUUAAGUCAGCGGUGAAAGUUUGUGGCUCAACCAUGAAAUUGCCGUUGAAACUGGAAGACGUGAGUGUGUUUGAGGUAGGCGGAAUGCGUGGUGUAGCGGUGAAAUGCAUAGAUAUCACGCAGAAAUCCGAGUGCGAAGGCAGCUUACUAAGCCAUAACUGACACUGAAGCACGAAAGCGUGGGGAUCAAACAGGAUUAGAUACACGAGUAGUC